AUGCACUUGCUCAGUUGCUGAAGUAGCUCUCUUUCUCGUCCUUAAGAGCACACAUGUUUCUAAAACGUAAAAAAAAACCAUGUGAAAGAUUGCUAUUCUACAAUGGACCUUGAUAAAUUCUGAUGGAAAGGAAGUAAUACAAAGGUACACAUCAAGAAGAAAACUGCUUCUCAUUUUGAUUAUUCAUUUUAAUCAUGCACAACUUGCCAGAAUAUUCAUCAUAUUUGGAAGAAGAAGAAGCUAUGUCAUGAAAAAACUGCUUCAAAUACAGUGGUGUAUCUAGAGGAAAGAAAUGGAUUGAUUCAGAGAUACAAAACACGAUUUUAAAAGGACAAAGAUGUAAUGGGUGAAAAUGGAAGAAAAGAAAAAGAAAUACCAAACAAGAUUUUCCAGGGAUUUACAGGUCAUUGGUGAAAAUUGAAGAAAAGAUAAAUGAAAUAACAAAAAUAGUUAAAUGAUUUACAACCAAGCAGCACUCAGCAAUAGUGAUGAUGGUUAAACAAGAUUUAGUGCCUACCACACAGUUAAGAAAGCAUGAGAGACAAGAAUGUCUACAGAACAGAGGAGACUAUUUUUACUGCACUUAGAUUUGUGUUUUAGUUAUAUUCAAUUAGUAUUAAAGAGCUACCUACAAUAAAUCAUGUUAUAUUAUGUUCUUAGAUACUUUAUGUCAUUUUUCCUUCUCAUGCUUGGGGUUCUUUGCCAACAUGGGAUACUCCUAGUAAAGUGAAAAAUGCAUAUCUUUUUUUAACCUUUUUUCUAACAUGUGUAUCUGUAACAACUAGAAAUUUCAGAAGCAGUUUUAAUAUGCCUUUAUACUUGAUUACCUUUAAACUGAAUGUAGCUCCUAGUUAAGUUAGUGUUUAGAAUUCAUUUUAUAGGGGAGUCAUAAUCAGUGCCAAACAAUUAUUAUUGAUGGAGUUAUUCCCCUUGGAUAUAUAAAUCAUAUGAAAAAUUGCAUGGAAAGCUUUUUCAAAUCUACAUCAUUCAUAGGAUUGCUACGAAAUUCAUAUUGAAGGUUUAUCUUAGCAAUAAUUGGGGUUAGUUUGAAAUUCAUUUCAAUUAAUCCACUAUUUCUCCAUGAGUAAUGUCCCUUGGAAAUGUAAAUUAUAUAGGAAAUUGCCUUACACAUGUUUUAUAUCAAAUGCACUUUUGGCAAUUACAGAAUGAUUUUACACCAGACUAAACUGGAUUGAUUUUAACCUACUCACUUUCUGAAUGUGUUGACCCCAAGUUUUCUACACUAAUGACAUGGCUGGUUUUCUCCUUUGAACUAAAUUAUACAAUAUGGUAUGUGUUUUGCCAUUUUUGAAAGUCUCCA